GUCGAGAAUUUUUCACAAUGGGCGAAAGCCUGAUGGAGCGACGCCGCGUGGGGGAUGAAUGGCUUCGGCCCGUAAACCCCUGUCAUUUGCGAGCAAAGCCUUGCCGCUAACACCGGUAAGGUUGAUCGUAGCGAAAGAGGAAGGGACGGCUAACUCUGUGCCAGCAGCCGCGGUAAUACAGAGGUCCCAAGCGUUGUUCGGAUUCACUGGGCGUAAAGGGUGCGUAGGUGGCACGGUAAGUUCGAUGUGAAAGCUCUGGGCCCAACCCAGAAACGGCAUUGAAUACUAUCGGGCUAGAGGAUUGGAUGGGGGACUGGAAUUCUCGGUGUAGCAGUGAAAUGCGUAGAUAUCGAGAGGAACACCGGUGGCGAAGGCGAGUCCCUGGAAAAUUCCUGACACUGAGGCACGAAAGCUAGGGGAGCAAACAGGAUUAGAUACCCGAGUAGUCC
rnacentral:rRNA from 1 species